GAAGUCGUAACAAGGUAGCCGUAUCGGAAGGUGCGGCUGGAUCACCUCCUUUUGAGUAUGGUGAAUAUAAUUGUCUUAUCAGGCGUCCUCACAAGUUACUUGCAUUCAGGGUUUGAUGUUGGCAUAGGUUUGGGUUUAUGUUGGCGAUUUUUGUUCUGGGGGCCUUAGCUCAGCUGGUAGAGCACCUGCUUUGCAAGCAGGGGGUCGUCGGUUCGAUCCCGACAGGCUCCACCAUGAAAGUAUUUAUGGGUCUGUAGCUCAGGUGGUUAGAGCGCACCCCUGAUAAGGGUGAGGUCGGUGGUUCGAGUCCUCCCAGACCCACCAAUGUUAUAUCAAUUAUUCUGAAUGUGGUUUGCGCAUUUUUUAUGCUUAUCAGCCUUGGAGCUGUGAAGCGUUCUUUUAUAAUUUGAUGAUGUAGCAAGCGUUUGAACUUUUUAUUAAUAAUUUCUCAUUGGAAGCCUUAAGUGACAAUGUUUAUCCAUUGUCUUGUAGAUUUUGAGGCGACUUUGGGUUAUAUGGUCAAGCGAAUAAGCGCACACG
rnacentral:misc_RNA from 1 species